rnacentral:rRNA from 1 species
UACGGAGGAUGCGAGCGUUAUCCGGAUUUAUUGGGUUUAAAGGGUGCGUAGGCGGCUUUUUAAGUCAGCGGUGAAAUUUUGCAGCUUAACUGUAACAGUGCCCUUGAUACUGGGGAGCUAGGAUUUGGUUGCUGUGGGUGGAAUGUGUGGUGUAGCGGUGAAAUGCUUAGAAAUCACACAGAAUAUCGAUUGCGAAGGCAGCUCACAAAGCCAAGAUUGACGCUGAGGCACGAAAGUGUGGGGAUCAAACAGGAUUAGAUA